rnacentral:lncRNA from 10 species
CAAAAGAGAUAUGACAUCAAAAAAUUUACUAAUCUUGCUGCUAGUGAUUCUUUUCCUCUGGGAUAACUGAUGUUAGCAGUUUAGUGAAUAUUUUUUUCCAGUUUACUCUUUGCUCUUUCAAACAUGUUUACAAAAAUAGGAUCAUACCAUAUACCUGACUCUGCAUCUUGUUUUUUAUAUAAUAUAUCAUAAGCACAAUUUCAGGUCCAUACACAUGUACACACACACACAACAUACACACAGAUCAACUUAUUUUUAUCAGCUGCUUAACAUUUCAUAGAACAAAUGUCCCAUAAUUCAUUCAAUCAUUGCCUUAACGAUCAAUAUUUAGCGCAUUCUUUUGUUUUUGCAACAAACAUCCUUGUACAUAUCACCUUAUGUGUCUAUAUGGUUUUGUACAAAAAAUUCUCCAAAGUGGAAGUGCUGGACCAAAGGUCAUACACAUUUUAAACUCCAAUACAGAUUAGUGUCCCAAAAGAUUGUGGCAGCUCACACUCCCACCAGCCGCGUCAAAACUGCUCAACUGCCCCCGCCUGGCUGGCACUGGAUGUCAUCAAUAUUUAAUAUUUUCCCCAAUCUGAUGGGAGAAAAAUGGCAUUUGGCAUAUCGUUAUUCUUUUAAUUUGCAUUUCUAUGACUGCCUGAGAGGUUGAGCAUCUUUUCAUUUGUUUAUUGGCCAUUUGCAUUUCUGCAUCUGUGAGUUGUCUGAUCAUAUUCUUUGUCUAUGUGUCUUUCCUUAUUUUUGUUUUGUAUUUUUCUUAUCAAUUUUUAGGUACUCUUUGUAUGUUGAGAAUAUUAAUCCUUUGUCUAUCUCAUGUGUGGUCUACCUCUAUGCCAAAAAGAUCUUUGCAAGCCACAACAAGAUCUCUGCAAGCUGCAAUUCUGCAUGGAUGAAAUGCUGCAAGAUGAAACAAUAAGAAUAAAUGCAAAUUCUUAUUCUUGGGUCUGCAAGCUCAUGCUAUCCUUGGAAGGAGAAGGCGGGAUGUCCUGACCAUUCAUGACAUCAGAGGUUGAUGAGUUCAGUGGGAGGUAACAGUGGGAUACAGCUGCUAAAACAGCUGAAAAGGGACCUUCGCAUGCCUUCAUGGAGAUAGAGGGUUUACAAUGUCCUUCCCACCUCUGUGAAAGGGGCUCACUCUGGAGCCCUAGAGAAGGGUGAGAGGGCUGGAGCCCCCUUCCUGUGAGGAGUUGGCCCUGCUCAAUUUGGAACAGAGCAAGACUAUCCCUGCCUAGGGGGGAGCAGAUGAACCUCUGUGCCCAGAGGGCAGAGUGGGGUCCACGAGACAUCCCAGGGAGGUGGGUCCCAGCUGAGAGUGAGGAGGAACUUUUUCCUUAACUACCUAUUUCCAGAAUUGCAUCCCAAGUGCCUCCUACCCCUUUUCUUGCUUUAUCUUCUCCCUCACAGUGUUUGCAAUUUCUAGCAUACCAUACAUUUUAUUAAUUUUUUGUACUGUGUCCCUUUACUAAAGUGUCAGCCCCAUGAGGACGGGAGCGUUUGUUUUGUUCACUGCUGUGUCCCUUCCACAACCAUUGUUAUUGUUUCUCCCACUCAGAGCUGUGCAGAAAUGGGAUGAGCUGCUGAAUAGGUGGUGAGUGCCCCAUCAGGAGAGGCGAGCAAGCAGAAUCUGCCUGGCCACUUAGCAGGCAUUCUGUGCAGGGGGAUCCCAGUCUUCAUCUGCAGUUUUCCUACCUAGGUGAGCUUCAGUCCAGCCUCAACUCUCCUCCCAGCAUGAGGCCCUUGUGUUUUGGAAAAUCAACCGGCAUCACACCAGACUGAAAAUAUCUCAAAAUAUCGCUUGCGACUUCCUCCUGCUCCCCGAGGCCCCGCCUGGGCGGGCAGCAACCUUUCCCUUGCUGUUGAUUUUCAAGAAAGGCUCUUCCAUCACUGGGAUGCAGGGAAUUUCCAGUAUUUUUCUUCCUCUGGCCCUUUUUUUUUUUUUUUUUUUUUGGCCUUCAGAGGCCCACAUUGUGUUGUCCUGACGCAGCUCCAGGCAAUGUUUUGCCCCAAAGGCCUGGGCUGGGUCAGCGAGGUUUGGACCAGCAGCCCUGGCUCCUUGGGCGCAGGAACAAUACCUCCAUAAUUCACUGAAAGCUCCCCUCGGAUGACUUUUUCCUGUUGCUGAUUGUCUCCAAGUUCCAGACCUGCACAAACUGCUUUUUCCCCGCAGCUAAAUUUAAAAGGGCCAGACCCUGGAAACAGUGCACUAGGCUGCCUUCACCGUGGGGGCAAAGGUGGCGGAGGCUGGAUGGAAGUAGAGCCCUGAAGCCACCGCUUCCCUGCCAGCCCUGACACACAUACACAGGUGGCUGCAGGACUGUCUUCAUUUUAAUUCCUCAAACUGCCCUUAGAGCUCCUUGGGCCACAGCCACAGAUUGUGGACUUCAGAAAAGUUACUAGAUCUGUAGAGGUCAGAGGGGCUACAGCCGAGAAGACUUAAGGAGUCACAUGUGCUGUCCCAGAGCUGGGGAACAGGCAGGUCUGGAGGGUGCAGACACAGGUGGCAUGCCUACCCACCGGGGAAGUGGUCAAGGGCUGACAGUGCCAGGUGAGGGUCAGGUGCCAAGAGGGCCCUUCCCGGUUCUUGCAUUUGUGGCCACCCCGGGCCGGCAAGGAGGGGCUGCGCCAGCCAUCUCAGAGGUUCCAGCAGCCUUGCCCCUCUGCCCACAUUGGCCUAGCCUGUGGCUUUUGACAAGUGUAGAGUGAAAUCCUCUGGGCUUGACUUCUAGCUUUGCCACUGACUUGCUGUGUGACCUUCCAAAAGCCUUUUGCUUCUCUCUGCCUCAAUGUCCCCAUCUUCAAAGUGGGAAUAAGAAGAAGCACUUACAUCUUAGGGCUCUUAUGAGGUGUAAGCAAGUUAAUACUUAUAAAGUGUU